rnacentral:rRNA from 1 species
AACUUUCAACAAAGGAUCUCUUGGCUCUUGCAUCGAUGAAGAGCGUAGCGAAGCGCGAAAUGUAGUGUGAAUCGCAGAACACUGUGAAUCAUCGAAUCUUUGAACGCACAUUGCGCCUCUCUCUCGAGGGGCAUGCCUGUCUGAGCGUCAUUU